rnacentral:misc_RNA from 1 species
GUGAGUCAUCGAAUCUUUGAACGCACAUUGCGCCCGCCAGUAUUCUGGCGGGCAUGCCUGUUCGAGCGUCAUUUCAACCCUCAAGCUCUGCUUGGCGUUGGGGAUCGGCAGACCGGCUUCGCGGCCGCGCCGUCCCUCAAAUACAGUGGCGGUCACGCUGCAGCCUCCCUUGCGUAGUAGCACACCUCGCACCGGAGAGCAGCGCGGCCACGCCGUAAAACCCCCGACUUCUUGUUUUUGACCUCGAAUCAGGUAGGACUACCCGCUGAACUUAAGCAUAUCAAUAAGCGGAGGA